rnacentral:rRNA from 1 species
CCUACGGGCGGCAGCAGUGGGGAAUAUUGGACAAUGGGGGCAACCCUGAUCCAGCCAUGCCGCGUGUGUGAAGAAGGCCCUCGGGUUGUAAAGCACUUUCAGUGAGGAAGAACGCCUGGUGGUUAAUACCCAUCAGGAAAGACAUCACUCACAGAAGAAGCACCGGCUAACUCCGUGCCAGCAGCCGCGGUAAUACGGAGGGUGCGAGCGUUAAUCGGAAUUACUGGGCGUAAAGCGCGCGUAGGUGGCUUGAUAAGCCGGUUGUGAAAGCCCCGGGCUCAACCUGGGAACGGCAUCCGGAACUGUCAAGCUAGAGUGCAGGAGAGGAAGGUAGAAUUCCCGGUGUAGCGGUGAAAUGCGUAGAGAUCGGGAGGAAUACCAGUGGCGAAGGCGGCCUUCUGGACUGACACUGACACUGAGGUGCGAAAGCGUGGGUAGCAAACAGGAUUAGAUCCCCAGUAGUC